UACGUAGGGUGCAAGCGUUAAUCGGAAUUACUGGGCGUAAAGCGUGCGCAGGCGGUGAUGUAAGACAGAUGUGAAAUCCCCGGGCUCAACCUGGGAACUGCAUUUGUGACUGCAUCGCUGGAGUGCGGCAGAGGGGGAUGGAAUUCCGCGUGUAGCAGUGAAAUGUGUAGAUAUGCGGAGGAACACCGAUGGCGAAGGCAAUCCCCUGGGCCUGCACUGACGCUCAUGCACGAAAGCGUGGGGAGCAAACAGG
rnacentral:rRNA from 1 species